rnacentral:rRNA from 1 species
UACGAAGGGGGCUAGCGUUGUUCGGAAUUACUGGGCGUAAAGGGCGCGUAGGCGGUUCGUUAAGUCCUGUGUGAAAUCCCCCGGCUCAACUGGGGAACUGCACAGGAAACUAGCGGGCUUGAGUUCGGGAGAGGGAAGCGGAAUUCCGGGUGUAGCGGUGAAAUGCGUAGAUAUCCGGAGGAACACCGGUGGCGAAGGCGGCUUCCUGGACCGACACUGACGCUGAGGCGCGAAAGCUAGGGGAGCAAACGGG